UACGAAGGGGGCUAGCGUUGCUCGGAAUCACUGGGCGUAAAGCGCACGUAGGCGGCUUUUUAAGUCAGGGGUGAAAUCCUGGAGCUCAACUCCAGAACUGCCUUUGAUACUGAGAAGCUUGAGUUCGGGAGAGGUGAGUGGAACUGCGAGUGUAGAGGUGAAAUUCGUAGAUAUCCGCAAGAACACCAGUGGCGAAGGCGGCUCACUGGCCCGAUACUGACGCUGAGGUGCGAAAGCGUGGGGAGCAAACAGG
rnacentral:rRNA from 1 species